AGUGAACGCUGGCGGUAGGCCUAACACAUGCAAGUCGAACGGCAGCACAGUAAGAGCUUGCUCUUACGGGUGGCGAGUGGCGGUCGGGUGAGGAAUACAUCGGAAUCUACUUUUUCGUGGGGGAUAACGUAGGGAAACUUACGCUAAUACCGCAUACGACCUACGGGUGAAAGCAGGGGAUCUUCGGACCUUGCGCGAUUGAAUGAGCCGAUGUCGGAUUAGCUAGUUGGCGGGGUAAAGGCCCACCAAGGCGACGAUCCGUAGCUGGUCUGAGAGAAUGAUCAGCCACACUGGAACUGAGACACGGUACAGACUCCUGCGGGAGGCAGCAGUGGGGAAUAUUAGACAAUGGGCGCGAGCCUGAUCCAGCCAUACCGCGUGGGUGAAGAAGGCCUUCGGGUUGUAAAGCCCUUUUGUUGGGAAAGAAAAGCAGCAGGUUAAUACCCCGCUGUUCUGACGGUACCCAAAGAAUAAGCACCGGCUAACUUCGUG
rnacentral:rRNA from 1 species